ACAGGAAAAAAAAAAAAAAGGCCACGUGAGGACACAGCAAGAAGGCAGCUGAAUAGAAGCCAAGAAGUGAGUUCUCACCAGCAACCAGCCCGGCUGGAGUCUUGAUCUUGGCCUUCUAGUCUCUAGAACGGAUUGUGGAUGAUCAUCGGUGCAAUGUCACAUUUCCGAGAAAUCCUCAAAAGGAGGCAAAAGCAAGUGUCAUCGGCCGCUCUGACCGGUGCGAGAUGACAUCUCACUGUGGUUUUCAUGUGCAUUUCCCGAUGAUGAGUGACGAUAAGCACCUUUUCACCGGCCUGUGGGCCAUCUGUCUGCCAUUAUCUGCUCAAUAUAACGGUGCGUUAAAAUAUAAUCGCAACGAAUGCAAGUGGAAUGGAGAGCAUGUGACAAAGAGAAAAGCAAGGUCUUCGUUUCUCAUUCUGCACAGGCGUUUUGCAUCUUUAAAGAAGAAAAAUGUCCGGAGCCUUUGGAGAAAAAAUGAUCAUACAGAAGAACCUCAGAAAACAACAAUAUUUAGAGCUCAGAGAGGACUUGAAAAUCAUCUAAUCCAACAUUUCCAAAUGAUAUAGAAACACUUCCUAUGAGUCACAAAAGGAAGGAAAACAACUAACCAAAGCAAACACUUUCAUUCCUAGGACCUUGCAAAUGAUUUUUACUGAGAAGCCUUAUUCCCAAGAAUUCUGAUGCCAGAUGCUGAUACAAUACAGGUUUUCCCUCCCCAGGAGAUUGUUAGAUGUGAUCCACAUCUUGCCUCCGAGAGGCCCUUUCAAAUGAAGCCUGUCUGCAAAUUGGGAGGAAGGACUUUAACCCCAAACUAGGACAUGCCAAGAUGGGGCUCUUGAACCACAAGAAAGAGCGGUGAGAGAAGAAAGAAGUUCAUUAACACAGAUAGUUCAUAUAUACAUGGCAGACAGCUGGGAAAAAGAGAUGGCUUAAAAUGUGGCCUUACAUAUCAUCUUUAUCAGAAAACAUAAAAAGAACCUCAACAAAGCAAUACAGGCUUGAUUUACUGAUGGCUGGUGUCCACUGAGCCGCUGCUGAUGUUCCGUCUUAGUUCCAGCUACUUGUAAGCAAAAGUGGGUGCGGUUACUCCACUCCCUGGACAGAACUCAAGCCGGGAGUGCCUGAGGAGUGUCACACAGAUCCCGCCUGGGGGCGAGGGGUGUCUGCGGGUGUCAGCUUGCCUUCUGUUCCCUCAUCAGAUCUGGGGACACAAAGGGAAGGAGAACCACUCACUACAAGGAGCCUCAGGUAGGCCUGGCUGAUACGUUACGGAACCCGGUCUGGAUCCCCUGGCGGAAGACCCACGCAGCCCUCGGAGAUCUUGGAAGGCAGGAGGUUUAUUUCCCACUGGUGGGCUCAGAGGAGAUCACUCUCCAGAGGUCUGAAUCCAGAGCAUAAGCAUGGGGGACAAUUUAUAGUCUGUUACUUCCGCAUUCCGAGUUAGUAGUAAUUUGGCUUGCACGGCAAGCAGGGUAGGAAGAAGAACCGGGAAGGGGAGUCUCCUGGUGGGCACUGGAAUUCGCCCAUCGGUCCUGUCGGCCAUCUUAUAACAGAUUUUUCCCUAUCAGAUACACCCUCUGGGUGGAAGCCUGGCCAAAAGGAGCGCUAGGGGAUUCAGGGAUAAUUCUGGUCCCAGCACCUAGAUUCUAGCAACAUGGAUGCCAGUGUAUGCUUUCAUCAGGGACGUCUGCAUCACCCCUGGAGAAAAUGGGGGCAAGGGAAUGAGGCAUCUGUGGAUGCCCACAUCCUGCUUGCUGUAUUGUAAGUAAUAAUUUGCCUCUGAAAAAAAAAAAAAUCAUCUUCAGCCAAAACAGAAGAUGGAUGUGGGGAAGCCUGGUCACGGAAUGGGAGCCAGAAAAGCUAGGUAAACAAGGGUCAGGCUGGUUAUGCAAAUUUCAGCUGGGCCUUCUCCACUGAUAAGAUUCUUUAGUGAUUUAGAAUCAUUCUUCUCUUCCUGUUGAGAGAGACACCCUUACAAAUGGAGAUUUCCUUUAUAAAUGUAAAUUUCCCUCACAAAAGGGUGACUUCUACUCUUAUUUGCAGAGCUCCUCCCAUAUCUCGCUGUUUCUCAAACUAAGCCCCUAAAAAUAAUCCUUGUGCCAAAGAGGCAUCAUUAGGGUAGCAUAUUCCGGUCUCCUACGGUCAUAUUUUGGGGUGACAUAUUCUGGUGUUCUAUAAGUACUCCGAGUCCUCCCUAAGUGAUUUUUUAUUUACACGAGGAGAUUAGACUCAGUGAUAGUUAAAAGCGUCGAAAGCAGGGUAGUUAGAAAAAUGGUGGAAUCACCUUCAUUGCUAGAUUUAAUUACUGGGAGACAUUCCAAAACCUAAUCUCUAGGCUUAGACUCCUAGGUUUGGGUUAAUUGACCCCCGAGGCUGUUCCAGUGCUAAUUCUUCAGUAUUAUAUUGCACAUACCGAGGGAGUAAAUCACUUUUAUAUGGAUGUGGAUAGAUCAUCAAGCAAUAAAAAUGCUAAUGCUCUGGGGCCAAAUCCAGAGCUUUCUAGGGCUCGGGUUCCUUUUGGACCUCAGUGGGAGGUACUCACCCACGGUGCGUGAAUCGAACAUUCCGGUUGCCGGUUGCCUGAUGGCACAGUGAAGCUGACUUCUGGAGAACAUUUAAUUUACUUAUUUUAGAAACAGUUAUACUCAUGGUCAGGAAGCACCUUUCUCGAGGCUCUUUCUUUCUCGUACCUUUAUCCGCAACUGUUCCACACAGGGAGUUUUGCUAUUAAAAAAAAAAAAAAAAGUAUCCAAGGAAGAUUUUCACUA